UUUUGAAGAGAGGAGAAAGACUUUUUGAAUUCUGUGUCUGUUUGUGUCUUCUAGGAAGCAGAUGCCAAGGGCAUUGGAGGGAAGAAUGCUUGUGAAAGAUGAAGGGGGAAAGAAGCGCGCUUCUGUGGAAAACAUUUUCAAGUUCAUUAGAUCAAACUCGAUGAGAAUGGCUGACACCUGAGAAUCAAACCAACACACUCCUCAGCAUUGAGUCCGAAAGUCACAAAAGGUAUUGUUUAAACCUCCUUAAGAUGACCUUGAAGUAUGAGUUUUGUAGCAAAUUGAGAAUAAGGACCAGAGCCAUUCCGUAGAAUAGAUAGAUUAUUUUGGGGGAAAAUAAGAUCUUUGGAAUUUUAUAUUUUCAAGGACAAAAGUUAAGAAGGAAUAGCAAGAAAGAAUGAUGAACAUAUGAUGAACAUUCCUAAACAUAUAGUAUCUGGGUUAAAUUCAUGGUAAGAGAUCCCUACUUAAAUGUAUGUGUUAUAACACCUUGGUGAGCUUAUAGACUAACCUGAGUUUUAAAAUAAGCAUGAGUCUUACUAUAGUAAAAUUUCAGAUAUCUGGUCAUCUCAGGGAAUAAGAAAUGUGUGUGCAUCCAAAUCUCAA
rnacentral:lncRNA from 1 species